rnacentral:rRNA from 1 species
AACUCGACUGCAUGAAGCUGGAAUCGCUAGUAAUCGCGGAUCAGAAUGCCGCGGUGAAUACGUUCCCGGGUCUUGUACACACCGCCCGUCACCACCAUGGGAGUUGGUAACGCCCGGAAGUCAGUGACCUAACCGAGAGGGAGGAGCUGCCUAAGGCGGGACCGAUAACUGGGGUGAAGUCGUAACAAGGUAAC